GAUGAACGCUGGCGGCGUGCCUAAUACAUGCAAGUCGAACGAUGAACCGGGUGCUUGCACUCGGGGAUUAGUGGCGAACGGGUGAGUAACACGUGAGCAACCUGCCCCUGACUCUGGGAUAAGCGCUGGAAACGGCGUCUAAUACUGGAUAUGUCCCGUCACCGCAUGGUGUGCGGGUGGAAAGAUUUUUCGGUUGGGGAUGGGCUCGCGGCCUAUCAGCUUGUUGGUGAGGUAAUGGCUCACCAAGGCGUCGACGGGUAGCCGGCCUGAGAGGGUGACCGGCCACACUGGGACUGAGACACGGCCCAGACUCCUACGGGAGGCAGCAGUGGGGAAUAUUGCACAAUGGGCGGAAGCCUGAUGCAGCAACGCCGCGUGAGGGAUGACAGCCUUCGGGUUGUAAACCUCUUUUAGCAGGGAAGAAGCGAGAGUGACGGUACCUGCAGAAAAAGCACCGGCUAACUACGUGCCAGCAGCCGCGGUAA
rnacentral:rRNA from 1 species